rnacentral:rRNA from 1 species
AUCUACGGCCAUACCACCCUGAACGCACCCGAUCUCGUCUGAUCUCGGAAGCUAAGCAGGAUCGGGCCUGGUUAGUACUUGGAUGGGAGACCGCCUGGGAAUACCAGGUGCUGUAGGCU